rnacentral:rRNA from 1 species
ACACUCCUACGGGAGGCAGCAGUGGGGAAUAUUGCACAAUGGGCGCAAGCCUGAUGCAGCCAUGCUGCGUGUAUGAAGAAGGCCUUCGGGUUGUAAAGUACUUUCAGCGGGGAGGAAGGCGAUAAGGUUAAUAACCUUGUCGAUUGACGUUACCCGCAGAAGAAGCACCGGCUAACUCCGUGCCAGCAGCCGCGGUAAUACGGAGGGUGCAAGCGUUAAUCGGAAUUACUGGGCGUAAAGCGCACGCAGGCGGUCUGUCAAGUCGGAUGUGAAAUCCCCGGGCUCAACCUGGGAACUGCAUUCGAAACUGGCAGGCUAGAGUCUUGUAGAGGGGGGUAGAAUUCCAGGUGUAGCGGUGAAAUGCGUAGAGAUCUGGAGGAAUACCGGUGGCGAAGGCGGCCCCCUGGACAAAGACUGACGCUCAGGUGCGAAAGCGUGGGGAGCAAACAGGAUUAGAAACCGAGUAGUCCCA